GGGACAUGAGGAAAACAGCCGAGGGCAAGGGCACAGGGCCAAGCGAGGAUGUGGUCUCAGCUGAAGCUCAGCUUCAGUCUGAUCCCUGGGGAAGCUAUGGAGGACACACUGCACCAGAGAGCUAAUCUCACAUUUAGGUCCCCAAGGUGGAGACUUCAAAUAUGCGAUCAGUCAUUAAGAUAAAGGAAUGUGAGAGAGAACUUGGGAGACUCUUAGCAGUUAACUUUCUUCUUUUCUGAUGUAUUUUCUUGGCACCUCCAUAAAGAAGAUAGAUAGGACAUUGUGUUUUUCAACUUAACUUUGUUUCAGUGUAGUUUAUUUUUAUGUUCUCCUAUUAGCUAAUUCGGACACUGUAUAUUUGCAAGACGCCGUUAACAUAAACGUUUUAUUAAAAGUGUGUCUCUGUACCCUAAUGUGAGGGAAUCUGCCAGGUUGCAGCACAGAAAUGGUUUUGCCUCAGAAAAUAUGGGAAGUCUUGAGGAUAUUACAGGAUCCACCACCUCUCCCAGAAAGCAAACCAAGUUCAGACACCCUCUAUGAGCUGAUACAGACAAAGGAAGCAGGCAGAAGAUACAUUCACCCUCAACACACAUUCACCUAAUUCAAAACACAAAACUUCUGCUACAAACACUAAUUCAUCAAUUCCAAUUCCCUAAUUUGGAAUUCAUAAUAAUGAAUUAUGAACUGUGGUUAACAUUACACUGUUAGUCUUUGUACAAUCUUUGAUGAGUUAAUCAAGCAAAUUUGUGGUGUAAGCCUGGGGAGAGAGGGGUAAACUACUUAGAAAACAAAAAGAUUUAAAACUGUUUCUGAACUUUCAGUUUUUUGUUGCAACCACUAUUAUUAGGGGGUCUUCAAUAUUCAUUAAAAGUAGGCUCAGCAAGUCAGCAAUUUGGCAACAUUUUAUUAUCAGUUUAAGUUACAUUUACAUCAUAGUCCUGAAGUGGUAAUAUAUUUUUCUAUCCCAUAAUUCCUUUAUGAUAACAGUUUACUCAAUUUUAUAUUAAAACACCUGUAAAGACACAAAAAUAUGAAAAUUUACAAUAUGGAAAACCCUCACAGGUGAUCAGCGACUAUCUGAGACCAGUGUCAUGCAGGUGGGUAAGAAGAAUUUGAAAUUACUCUUGUGACCCUGUGGCUCUUUGCCCAUCUUCCCAGUGGUAUUCAUUGCCUCAGAGAGAGGUGUGUACUACAUACAACAAAGGUGCCAUCAAUCGGCUUUGAGUUUAAAAGACAACAGUUUUAAAAGUUGGGCAUUCAAUUGCAAGAGCUUAACCCUUGGAGGAAAAAAAAAACAUUUUCUGAAUUCCACAUCUCCCUUUAGAAAAUUCUUCCUUCUUUUUCAAAAACAAUUAACGUAGAAGAAAUUAUGGAAUUAACCAUUUAGUAACCAUCAUAACUGACUCAGGUAAGUAUCACCAAUGAACGAUAAAACUAGUGGGUGACAGUUUGAGGAAUAAUAGGAUAAUAGCCUCAAAGUAUCUAUCUCCCCACAAGAUAAUUUAUUAAUUACCAAAGGAAAAAUAGUAACUUUACCAUGAAGAAACCUGGUAGACACCAUUUUCAUUUAAAGUGGCCAGAGUUAACAUUGUGAGCAUCAGGACAAUCACCGUCAUGCACUUCCUGAUCUGAUUCAUUGAGAAGGACACUAUCACUUCUGUGGGAUUCCUGCCAAAAACUCAUAACCUGAACCUAACCGAGCAGAAACAAACCAACCCAAACUAGAGGACAUGCUACAAAAUAAUAGGCCUACUAUCUUCAAAAAUGCCUGUGUCAUAAAACACCAAGACUAAAAGGUAUGACAAUAAUGUAAUGCAUAGCCUGAGAUUUUUCUUUUGCUAUAAAGGAUAUUAGAGGGACAAUUGGCAAAAUCUCAAUAAAGCCUAUAGAUAAUUGCAAAAUAAUCAUUUCCUGAUUUAUAUGUAUAAUCGUGCAUGUAUGUGUGUAUAUGUGUGUCCUUGUGUGGAGAGGGAAAGAGAAAAGAGAAUGUGGUAAAAUGUUAACAUUUGGAGACUCUGGAUAGAGAGUAUUUGAGAAUCCUUUGUACUUUUCCUAUGACUUUAAAUCUGAUCAAAA
rnacentral:lncRNA from 1 species